GAUGGGCAUGGUGGCGAAUGUCUGUAAUCCCAGCUACUUAGGAGGCUGAGGCAGGAGGAUUGCAAGUUCAAGGCCAGCCUUAGUAAUUUAGCAAGGCCCUAGGCAGUUUAGUGAGACCCUGUCUCAA
rnacentral:sRNA from 1 species